rnacentral:rRNA from 1 species
GAUCAAGUGUCUUAAGGGCAAUUGGUGGAUGCCUUGGCAUGCACAGGCGAUGAAGGACGUGAUACGCUGCGAUAAGCUACGGGGAGGUGCGAAUACCCUUUGAUCCGUAGAUUUCCGAAUGGGGAAACCCACCUAAGGUGCUUGGAAAAUCAGAGUAGCAGGGCAACCUGCUGCUGUGGUUUCCAAGUAUCGAUAAUAGGUAACUUACCCUGAAUAAAAUAGGGGUAAAGUGGCGAACGCGGGGAACUGAAACAUCUAAGUACCCGUAGGAAAGGACAUCAACCGAGACUCCGGCAGUAGUGGCGAGCGAACCCGGACCAGGCCAGUGGCGAUGAUGAGACAAGCGGAACCUUCUGGAAAGUAGGGCCAUAGUGGGUGACAGCCCCGUACGCGUAAUGCAAAUCAUCGUCCUCGAGUAAGGCGGGACACGUGAAAUCCUGUCUGAAAUUGGGGGGACCACCCUCCAAGCCUAAGUACUCGUGCAUGACCGAUAGCGAACUAGUACCGUGAGGGAAAGGUGAAAAGCACCCCGACAAGGGGAGUGAAAGAGUACCUGAAACCGAUUGCCUACAAACAGUGGGAGUCCAAGGUUCGUCCUGGGUGACCACGUACCUUUUGUAUAAUGGGUCAGCGACUUAGUGUGACGAGCAAGCUUAAACCGCUAGGUGUAGGCGCAGCGAAAGCGAGUCUGAACAGGGCGUUCAGUUCGUCGCAUUAGACCCGAAACCGAGUGAUCUAGCCAUGAGCAGGUUGAAGGUAAGGUAACACUUACUGGAGGACCGAACCCAUAACUGUUGCAAUAGUUCGGGAUGACUUGUGGCUAGGGGUGAAAGGCCAAUCAAACUCGGAAAUAGCUGGUUCUCCGCGAAAUCUAUUUAGGUAGAGCGUCGACCGAAUACCCCAGGGGGUAGAGCACUGGAUGGGCUAGGGGUCCUCACCGGAUUACCAAACCUAACCAAACUCCGAAUACCUGGGAGUACUAGUCGGCAGACACACGGCGGGUGCUAACGUCCGUCGUGAAAAGGGAAACAACCCUGACCUACAGCUAAGGUCCCCAAGUUAUGGCUAAGUGGGAAAGGAUGUGAGGAUCCCAAAACAACCAGGAUGUUGGCUUAGAAGCAGCCAUCAUUUAAAGAAAGCGUAACAGCUCACUGGUCUAAAUAAGGGUCUUUGCGCCGAAAAUGUAACGGGGCUCAAGCCAUACACCGAAGCUUAGGGUUCGUGAGCAAUCACGAGCGGUAGCGGAGCGUUCUGUAAGCUGAUGAAGCCAUACCCGUGAGGGGUGGUGGAGGUAUCAGAAGUGCGAAUGCUGACAUGAGUAACGUAAGGGGAGUGAGAGACUCCCCCGCCGAAAGUCCAAGGGUUCCUGCUUAAAGCUAAUCUGAGCAGGGUUAGCCGGCCCCUAAGUCGAGGCAGAAAUGCGUAGACGAUGGGAACCACGUUAAUAUUCGUGGGCCUGGAGGAAGUGACGGAUCAUUGAGGUAGUCCAAUCUUAUCGGAUUGAAAGGGCUGCUGCGUGGUUCCAGGAAAUAGCUCCUCCUUAUAGACCGUACCCGAAACCGACACUGGUGGACUGGUAGAGUAUACCAAGGCGCUUGAGAGAACUAUGCUGAAGGAACUCGGCAAAUUGCACGCGUAACUUCGGAAGAAGCGUGACCCUUUUCCACGCAAGUGGAGGAGGGUGGCACAGACCAGGGGGUAGCGACUGUUUAUCAAAAACACAGGGCUCUGCGAAGUCGCAAGACGACGUAUAGGGUCUGACGCCUGCCCGGUGCUGGAAGGUUAAGAGGAGGGGUGCAAGCUCUGAAUCGAAGCCCCAGUAAACGGCGGCCGUAACUAUAACGGUCCUAAGGUAGCGAAAUUCCUUGUCGGGUAAGUUCCGACCUGCACGAAUGGCGUAACGACUUCCCCGCUGUCUCCAGCAUAGACUCAGUGAAAUUGAAUUCCCCGUGAAGAUGCGGGGUUCCUGCGGUUAGACGGAAAGACCCCGUGCACCUUUACUAUAGCUUUACAUUGGCAUUCGUAGUGGCAUGUGUAGGAUAGGUGGUAGGCUUUGAAACCUGGGCGCCAGCUCAGGUGGAGCCACCCUUGAAAUACCACCCUUAUCACUAUGGAUGUCUAACCGCGGCCCGUUAUCCGGGUCCGGGACAAUGUAUGGUGGGUAGUUUGACUGGGGCGGUCGCCUCCUAAAGAGUAACGGAGGCGCGCGAUGGUGGGCUCAGAACGGUCGGAAAUCGUUCGCUGAGUGCAAUGGCAUAAGCCUGCCUGACUGCGAGACUGACAAGUCGAGCAGAGACGAAAGUCGGUCAUAGUGAUCCGGUGGUCCCGCGUGGAAGGGCCAUCGCUCAACGGAUAAAAGGUACGCCGGGGAUAACAGGCUGAUGACCCCCAAGAGUCCAUAUCGACGGGGUUGUUUGGCACCUCGAUGUCGACUCAUCGCAUCCUGGGGCUGGAGCAGGUCCCAAGGGUAUGGCUGUUCGCCAUUUAAAGCGGUACGUGAGUUGGGUUCAGAACGUCGUGAGACAGUUCGGUCCCUAUCUGCCGUGGGUGUAGGAAUAUUGAAAGGAUCUGUCCCUAGUACGAGAGGACCGGGAUGGACGGAUCUCUGGUGGACCUGUUGUGGCGCCAGCCGCAUAGCAGGGUAGCUAUAUCCGGACGGGAUAACCGCUGAAGGCAUCUAAGCGGGAAACCCACCUUAAAACGAGUAUUCCCUGAGAACCGUGGAAGACGACCACGUUGAUAGGCCGGGUGUGGAAGAGCGGCAACGCUUGAAGCUUACCGGUACUAAUAGUUCGAUCGGCUUGAUCGU